AAUCAACGCUGGCGGCGUGCCUAACACAUGCAAGUCGAGCGAGAAAGGGAGCUUCGGCUCCCGAGUACAGCGGCGGACGGGUGAGGAACACGUGGGUAACCUACCCUCGGGUGGGGAAUAACCCAGGGAAACCUGGGCUAAUUCCGCAUAACAUCUUUAGCUCGCAAGAGUUAUUGAUCAAAGCUGGGGACCCUUCGGGGCCUGGCGCCUGUGGAGGGGCCCGCGGCCGAUUAGCUUGUUGGUGAGGUAACGGCUCACCAAGGCUCCGAUCGGUAGCCGGCCUAAGAGGGCGGACGGCCACACUGGGACUGAGACACGGCCCAGACUCCUACGGGAGGCAGCAGUGGGGAAUUUUUGUCAAUGGGGGAAACCCUGAACAAGCAACGCCGCGUGGAGGACGAAGACCCUCGGGUCGUAAACUCCUGUCGGAGGGGACGAAAGCGGUCGUAGUUAAUACCUGCGAUCGUUGACGGUACCCUACGAGGAAGCCCCGGCUAACUCCGUG
rnacentral:rRNA from 1 species